CCUACUCUGUCUUUGACACUGUGACAAGCACUAAGAUACUGUAACUGUCAACAUGGAGAUUUCAGUCUAGUGCAAGACAUUGGUAACAAGCAAGGUCUACUAAAACUGUGCUUGUCUUGGCCUUUUCAUCGCGACAUUUAACGGAGAAGAAUUUCAAUUGUUUGCAGUCAAUCCCACAGUGCUUUUCCAAUUUCCCUUUGUUUUCUUUGGGAUUUUCAAGAAACCUCACGUGCCCUACAUAAUUCAGUUAUGAUUCCAGAGGAACUUGGUGCCUCAAAGUGACAGAUGAUUUUUAAAAAUAUUUCAACACCUGUGUAUUAGAAGCAGCAUCACAUUAAGAAUCAAGAGUCCAGAGCUAGACGCCAGGCCCUGCCAUUAAUUAGUUGUGUGACCUUCAGACACAGUGAGAAGAUGGCCAUGUGCAAGCUGGGAAGAGGGGCCUUGUCAAAAUAUGCCCAUGCUGCUACCCUGAUCUCACAUUUCCAUCUC